CAUCCUGAAAAAUUAUUUAAUGCACUCUUCAAAGAACUGUAAAAGCUUAUAACAUCAUUGGAGUGUUGUUUCUGAUGAAGUCUAUUUUUAUAUUGAUUGAAUUGGAUUUGGAUUUUGACAUUUUGCUAUUGGAACAGGUUCGAGGAAUAUUAAGGGAAUCUAAUCACUAACUGCAUGAUUGCUAGGAAAUGCUUGCUUCCCAGAGGAUGUGAACGCCCUUCAAUGACUGAUGUUGUGCAUGUACUCAAGCUUGCUCUGGAACUGCAGGAAACUGCUGAUGUUGCAUUGGAGAAUGAGGACAUGGAGCUCUCCGGCUCACGCUGAAUAACUUGUGUUCCUGUAAUACUUAAUAUAGAUUGGAUAACAUCUUUUAGGGUGGAUUGGUAUAGUAUUUUUGGAUAUUAUUAUGUGAUUUCAAUAAUGGAUGUUGGAUCGAGACAAUUUGUAAUGUUUGGUUUGGUGCUAUUAAUGUAUUUUUGGAUAAAUUGGCUUA